ACUCCUACGGGAGGCAGCAGUGGGGAAUAUUGCACAAUGGGGGAAACCCUGAUGCAGCCAUGCCGCGUGUGUGAAGAAGGCCUUCGGGUUGUAAAGCACUUUCAGUAGGGAGGAAGGAUGAGUGUAGUUAACACCUUGCACUUAUUUGACGUUACCUACAGAAGAAGCACCGGCUAACUCCGUGCCAGCAGCCGCGGUAAUACGGAGGGUGCGAGCGUUAAUCGGAAUUACUGGGCGUAAAGCGCAUGCAGGCGGCCUUGUUAAGUCAGAUGUGAAAGCCCGGGGCUUAACCUCGGAAUUGCAUUUGAACUGGCAGGCUAGAGUCUUGUAGAGGGGGGUAGAAUUUCAGGUGUAGCGGUGAAAUGCGUAGAGAUCUGAAGGAAUACCAGUGGCGAAGGCCGGCCCCUGGACAAAGACUGACGCUCAGAUGCGAAAGCGUGGGGAGCAAACAGGAUUNGAUACCCUGGUAGACUGU
rnacentral:rRNA from 1 species